AUCAUAAAGAUAAAGUUUUUACACUACUUUUUUUUUUUUUCUUUCUAAUUUCUCUUUAUCCUUCCAUUAUAAGGUUUAAAAUAUUAUAGAAUGGGGCAAUGAAAGAUAAACCCCGCAUUUGUUCCUUCCAGAAGUGAUGCAAGCAAUUUCUCUUUCGGGCUCUAUAUAAUCCCUUGCAUCCCCCUUCACCUUCUCACACACAAGAACAAUUCAAGUUUGACACUUGUUCCUUAGAAACGAAACAGUUUUUUGAGUUAAAUAUAGAGAAAAAAAAGGGCUAGUUUAUUUGUUCUCUUCCCCUAUAACCCUCCAACCCAUUUCAGAAUCAAGAAUUAGCAUAGUCUGAUCCAAUUGCAGAUUUAAGGAACGGUGAUGCAUAUCAGAUUUCAUUGAUUCUUUGGGUAAUAUUAUAAGGGUUAUGAGAAGUCUUGAUAAGUUGGAGUUCUGUCAAUUGAAAUCCUUCAGCGGAAGCUUCAAUGGUGGGAAAUUAAAGCAAUGAUAUGUAUUUGCUAUUUGAGUUUAAAAGGAAGAGCGCUUAGAGAAGGGGUUGUUGUGGUUGAUUUAUGUAGUUAUAGGCCUCCAUGACAAAUUAGAUGUAUGCGUAUAUUUGAUUUUAAAAGAAAUGAGUGAUGACAUGGAUGAUAAAGAUCUAUAUACAAUUAUAAUAUAUGUGUUGAUCUAUAUAUAUAUAUAUAUAUAUAUAUAUAUAUAUAUAUAUAUAUGUGUG